rnacentral:rRNA from 1 species
GACGAACGCUGGCGGCGUGCUUAACACAUGCAAGUCGAACGGAAAGGCCCUGCUUUUGUGGGGUGCUCGAGUGGCGAACGGGUGAGUAACACGUGAGUAACCUGCCCUUGACUUUGGGAUAACUUCAGGAAACUGGGGCUAAUACCGGAUAGGAGCUCCUGCUGCAUGGUGGGGGUUGGAAAGUUUCGGCGGUUGGGGAUGGACUCGCGGCUUAUCAGCUUGUUGGUGGGGUAGUGGCUUACCAAGGCUUUGACGGGUAGCCGGCCUGAGAGGGUUACCGGCCACAUUGGGACUGAGAUACGGCCCAGACUCCAACGGGAGGCAGCAGUGGGGAAUAUUGCACAAUGGGCGGAAGCCUGAUGCAGCAACGCCGCGUGCGGGAUGACGGCCUUCGGGUUGUAAACAGCUUUCGACUGUGACGAAGCGUGAGUGACGGUAAUGGGUAAAGAAGCACCGGCUAACUACGUG